rnacentral:rRNA from 1 species
CACAGAGGGUGCGAGCGUUAAUCGGAAUUACUGGGCGUAAAGCGUGCGCAGGCGGUUAUGUAAGACAGAUGUGAAAUCCCCGGGCUCAACCUGGGAACUGCAUUUGUGACUGCAUAGCUAGAGUACGGUAGAGGGGGAUGGAAUUCCGCGUGUAGCAGUGAAAUGCGUAGAUAUGCGGAGGAACACCGAUGGCGAAGGCAAUCCCCUGGACCUGUACUGACGCUCAUGCACGAAAGCGUGGGGAGCAAACAGG